rnacentral:rRNA from 1 species
AUGAACGCUAGCUACAGGCUUAACACAUGCAAGUCGAGGGGCAGCAUGAACUUAGCUUGCUAAGUUUGAUGGCGACCGGCGCACGGGUGAGUAACACGUAUCCAACCUGCCGAUGACUCGGGGAUAGCCUUUCGAAAGAAAGAUUAAUACCCGAUGGCAUAGUUCUUCCGCAUGGUAGAACUAUUAAAGAAUUUCGGUCAUCGAUGGGGAUGCGUUCCAUUAGGUUGUUGGCGGGGUAACGGCCCACCAAGCCUUCGAUGGAUAGGGGUUCUGAGAGGAAGGUCCCCCACAUUGGAACUGAGACACGGUCCAAACUCCUACGGGAGGCAGCAGUGAGGAAUAUUGGUCAAUGGACGAGAGUCUGAACCAGCCAAGUAGCGUGAAGGAUGACUGCCCUAUGGGUUGUAAACUUCUUUUAUACGGGAAUAAAGUGAGGCACGUGUGCCUUUUUGUAUGUACCGUAUGAAUAAGGAUCGGCUAACUCCGUGCCAGCAGCCGCGGUAAUACGGAGGAUCCGAGCGUUAUCCGGAUUUAUUGGGUUUAAAGGGAGCGUAGGCGGACGCUUAAGUCAGUUGUGAAAGUUUGCGGCUCAACCGUAAAAUUGCAGUUGAUACUGGGUGUCUUGAGUACAGUAGAGGCAGGCGGAAUUCGUGGUGUAGCGGUGAAAUGCUUAGAUAUCACGAAGAACUCCGAUUGCGAAGGCAGCUUGCUGGACUGUAACUGACGCUGAUGCUCGAAAGUGUGGGUAUCAAACAGGAUUAGAUACCCUGGUAGUCCACACAGUAAACGAUGAAUACUCGCUGUUUGCGAUAUACAGUAAGCGGCCAAGCGAAAGCGUUAAGUAUUCCACCUGGGGAGUACGCCGGCAACGGUGAAACUCAAAGGAAUUGACGGGGGCCCGCACAAGCAGUGGAGUAUGUGGUUUAAUUCGAAGCAACGCGAAGAACCUUACCAGGUCUUGACAUCCGAUGCAUAGCGCAGAGAUGCGUGAAGUCCUUCGGGACAUCGAGACAGGUGGUGCAUGGUUGUCGUCAGCUCGUGCCGUGAGGUGUCGGCUUAAGUGCCAUAACGAGCGCAACCCUUAUCGAUAGUUACCAUCAGGUGAUGCUGGGGACUCUGUCGAGACUGCCGUCGUAAGAUGUGAGGAAGGUGGGGAUGACGUCAAAUCAGCACGGCCCUUACGUCCGGGGCUACACACGUGUUACAAUGGGGGGUACAGAAGGCAGCUACACGGCGACGUGAUGCUAAUCCCUAAAGCCUCUCUCAGUUCGGAUUGGAGUCUGCAACCCGACUCCAUGAAGCUGGAUUCGCUAGUAAUCGCGCAUCAGCCACGGCGCGGUGAAUACGUUCCCGGGCCUUGUACACACCGCCCGUCAAGCCAUGAAAGCCGGGGGUACCUGAAGUGCGUAACCGCAAGGAGCGCCCUAGGGUAAAACUGGUGAUUGGGGCU